rnacentral:rRNA from 1 species
GUUUGAUCCUGGCUCAGAAUGAACGCUAGUAGUAUGCUUUAUACAUGCAAGUCGAACGGAAAUUAAUUUUUUCGUGGCGAACGGGUGAGUAUUCGCAAAAUUUUUCCUUUCAAUUCAGGACAAAGAUUUACUUGAUUAAAUCAAAAUACUGAAUAUUCAAAAGGUUAAUUCCGUUGAAAGAUAAAUUUGCACAAGAUUAGGUUGUUGGUAAAUUAAAAGCUUACCAAGCCUACGAUCUUUAGUUGGUCUUAGAGGAUGAUCAACCACACUGGAACUGAAAUAAGGUCCAGGCUGACACGUCGGCCAGCAGUAAGGAAUAUUGGACAAUGAACGAAAGUUUGAUCCAGCAAUACUAAUUGGGUGAUGACGGCUUAUUUAAGUUGUAAGAUCCUUUAAUUAAAGAAGAUAAUGACACUAUUUAAUUGAAUUUUAGUCCUGGCUAAUACUCGUGCCAGCAGCCGCGGUAAUACG